GGAAGUUUGGUUCAGUGGUAGAACGCUUGCCUUGCAUGCAUGAGGCCCUGGGUUCGAUUCCUCAGCACCA
rnacentral:tRNA from 1 species